GGAUAGAGGCGCAGCGUCCAGGAGUAGACCCGGCGGAAGAGGCAGCAAAGCCGUUGCCGGGGGGAAAGGGGCCGCUGCCGAAGGCGGGACCCUGCACCCCCCGCCUGGGCAGACGGAGAAGAUCCGGCUGACUGUCGCAUAUGCGGAGCGCUAUGGAU
rnacentral:ncRNA from 1 species